GCUUCAUGUCCCGUUCGAGUACUCCCGUAUCCCUGAUCGACAACCCGUGUGUACCGACCUUCGCCUGUUCUCCGACCGACCCUAUGUGGGAGGAAACUGGAGUGCCCGGUGAAGACCCACACAGGCACGAGUGGAACAUACAAACUCCACAACAGGCGGGGCCCGGGAUUUGAACCCCGGCCCUCAGAACUCCCAGAGGAAUACACCAUUUGUGCUCCACCUUCAGUGCUGCCCUGCAGUAGCAAUGAGCUCCAAAUAAGAAGGUGAACUAGAGCAGAAGAGAGAGUUUGCUGUGCAGACGCCGUUGACAACUGCCAAAUGUUGAAAGGAAGUCUACAGGUAUUUUGUUCUUGGAUUAAAAUGUUGUUCAUUAUUCUACAACAAAUAUUUGUCUUUUGCAUCUUAAGAAGCUGAAUUCAACCCAGCACUAGGUAAUCACAAUAAAAUGAAUACCGCUCAGGGAAAUUUUCAUCUAUAAAAUACUUCUAAAGUGACUCCUGCCUAGAUUCAAACCUCUCAAUUUCCAGAUCACUGCAUUCAGGAGUUGAAGCUCAUGGGCAUCAGUACUGAGAGCACAUCUGCUACCCAAACACUACUGCCCACUUUUUGUGAGGAUAUACAGUACUGUACGUCAAGCCAUUCAAUUUAUUGUGGUAUUUUUUCCCCUUUUGCAGAGUAAAGUAAUAUUUUCUCACAGUAAUGUUCAGCUUUGAUCUUUGGGAUACAACAUAGCCAUAACUAUUUUGUGAAUGCAUGUGACUUCCUGUCUCAUUAUUGUGAUCAUUACUCAUGACCAUACACUUGUAUCAAUCAUACCAUUCUUUCAUCUAAGUAGAUAUUUGAACUCAUGUUAAUCAGGAGCAAUGAUGACUAAUGUUUGUAUAACUGACUAUAAACAACUAAAUAAAGGUAAUCUGAAAUAAGCGAUACCUU